rnacentral:rRNA from 1 species
GAUCAUGGCUCAGGAUGAACGCUAGCGGCAGGCUUAACACAUGCAAGUCGGGGGGCAGCGCGGAGUAGCAAUACUCUAGCGGCGACCGGCGGAAGGGUGCGUAACACGUGAGCGACUUGCCCGUCACAGGGAGAUAACCGCUGGAAACGGCGACUAAUAUCCCAUAUGAUGGCGAUCUGCAUGGAUUGUCAUUGAAAGAUUCAUCGGUGACGGAUAGG